rnacentral:lncRNA from 1 species
GUCCUUCAGGAUCCGCUUGGGCCCUAAUAAUAUUUCCCGCAAGAAGGGGACAACUAGAGAGUAACAGUUCUAUACCCUGUCCCCACGAGCAGCAAAUCCUGCAACACAUUACUCCGAUCUCCUCCCACACUUCUUAGCCAUCCUUUCAGAAACAAAUUCACAUAACGACAAUGAUCCCGUUGUGGAAAAGUUUGCGAACCCCAGAUCUGGAUGGAAUUUUUAAUCACAACUAAUUUUUUGUUCAAAGAUCCUUGGAAAGAGAUAUUUCAAAAUUUUCUUCCGUAGUGAUCUCACUCUAGGUUCUGGAACUGCCCUAAUUUACAAGAAUACAUGUUAUGAUAUAUAGCUAGGCCUAGUCGCUGGUACUUUUUCCCUGUAAAUACUGUGAAAUAAGGCUUCAUACAUGUUGGUGGUGUAGAGAGAAUCAAUGAAAAACAGACCUCAUCCAAUAAAGCAUUUUUUAUUUCAGAAGCGUAAUUACAGCCUUAGAGAGCACUCUGCUGGAAUUCAUUCUCAGGAAAGGUUUUGGAAGGGAAAGACUGGGAUGCACAACAGCAAAGCCAUCCUUGUGUAUGAGGAAGUGGAGACAAUGGUAAAGAACUGAUAAUAAACUCCCAUGCAAGGGUGGCUGGCAAAGGAAAGUGAAACCAAGUGUGGGGCUCAUUCCUAAUUAUGCAAAAAGCCUCCCAAACUGUCCCUCUCUGCUUUGUCUUGAGACAUUAUAAGAAGUCAAGCAAAAGGACAAGAUUAGAGUGACAGCAGAUGCCUGGUAGCAAAACCUGGAGGCCCCAGGAAAUGCCAUUCCCAGGUGGAUUUGCAAACGCUCUUCAUCCCCUAAAGCUGCUCCUUGCAAAGCUCAUGCUCCAUUUAUUCCAUGUUUGUUCCAAAAAUGCAUUUGUCCAUAGCAGCUCUCGCCAGCCCCUAGGUGAAUGCUUUCUACCUCGCUGUGCCUAGCCCUUCACUCCCAUCAUUUCCUUCGGGGUAUUUGCCAUAAUGCCAGUUUUACUCACCCUUGGUUACUCUCACUUUCCCUGUCUUCUCUCUAAACUCAUUUUUCACCCUACGGACGAGGAACAGUACCGGCUUACGUACAAGUGUCUGCCAAGAACGUCACACACAGUACGCACUCGAUUAUUACUUGUUGACUUAAUGAAUUUGCCAUCCUCAGCUUUGGGACAACAAUUUUUCAAAGGCUGACUAGAAGACCUAGGCCGUCACUUAGGAUCGGAUUUGGGUGCAGGCAACACAGACUCUCUACAGUGGCAGCUAAUCUAAAGGAGACCGUUGUUUUGUUGUGGUUUUCCAUAGAACAAAGUGUUCAGCAGUGAGUAGCUUAAGAGAAGUGUGACCACUGCACACUACCACUGUCCUGGGAGCCUUUGAUUCUCGGCUGUUUUGUUGUUGUUGUUGUUGUUUUUCAGCCAUAGUAUCCUCCAAGAGAGGCUGGAAAAUGUACUUUUGGUUUGCUUAUUUGAUUAAGCCGGAAAUAUGACAGAAAUAUCAGGUUUCUGCUAAUAAGAUGUCUGGGCAGAGAAGUCACAGUCUCAUGGACUACAAUGCCUCUUGAUGGAUACACAACAACACAAUCGUGGUCACAUAAUCCGUAUCAGUCUGGCAGGCCCGAUCGGCCAGUUAGACGGUUCUCCAUGGGAAACACAUUCUUUAUCAGGAGAAGGCCUGGAGAGAACGGAGUUAGAACAAGGAGAGGAAGGUAAAUGAUAUAAAUAUGUGACGGCAGGAUAGGACAGCUGACAGGUGCAUGCCCGCCCUAGGCUUGGCCUAUCCAAUGAUACAGGUGAAUUUACGAUUUGUCUAAAAAGGCAUAUUUUCCCCCUGACUUUAUUUCUAGUGACACAGGUAACUCAAUUGUGAGACCCUCUUCUCUGUACUUCAUCUUCUGACCGACUUCUCUCUGAUGGACGUAUUCCUUCUCUUGAUCUUUCACUACUUCUAUUGGAUUAUUUAGUUUUGCAAUUCAGGAAGCCAAUAUUUUCCUUUAUGGCAACUUCGCAGAUCUCUGAUCUGAUCUACUGUAUGUUGACUUCACAGUUUAGCUCCCAGAAAGCAAUUUCCUCCCUAGGUUCUCCCAGGACACUUCAGCACAGUCAUAAAAUAUUGACAGAGAACGUCUGUAGUAGACCAUACCUCAUUCACAAUCUUAAAAUUGACUAAUAAAUAUUCAUUGUAAAAUGUCUUCUGAAGUUUGUUUGAUUAGCUUUUCCCUCAGUUGCACCUUAGGUUUGGUAAUUGUUCUUAAUAGUAUUUUAGGAAGAAAAAUUCUUCAGCUAAUGUCCCAAUAUUGAUAUUGGCUUUCCCUUGGAGACGUGGGAUAAGUGUAUUCUUUUCUUAACCUAUGAAUUUUUAAAACUUCCGAAUGUUGACAUCCUUGAACUUCAUUUUCUUCAUCCAGGGAUACAUUUACCAAGAGAUAUCACGCACCAGCAUUCUAAAUAUUACAUGACAUAGGCAUGGGAAAAAGUAGAGUGGAAAGAAUAAUCGUGGUUAAGGCAAGUGUUUCUAGAUGUUCGCUUGAAAUUUCUAUAAUUUUGGGAAAAGAACUUUCAAAACAAUUUUCUGUUUGAAUAUACUCCAUGGAGAUAUGUAGCCACAGCUGCUUCUUGGGAGGGUUGGUAGAAAUUUAGAUGUGUAAGCUGGGAUGCUUCACACAUGUGUAAAGCCCUUGAAAAGACAAGAGGAAUCCAAGGUGAAGAGAAGGGGAUGAGGGGCCGAGGACCAAUCCUCCUCACACUGUCAUAUCCUAGAAUCGAAACCUGAGAAUCUAGAAAUCCUAAGCUUAAAGUUAGCUUAUUUUUUUAUGAAAGUAUAUUUUUAUGAAAGUAUCUCAGUCAAGGUAUGAAAAAAUUUUGUUUUAUCUAAUAAUUUGCUAAUUUGAUGUAUAGUUUUAAAUAGUCCUGCAUAUAGUAUACAUUCUUGCCCCAGGCCCGCGAAUGUUAGCAGCAAGCUUGCUUAGUCUUACUCUGGCCAUAUGUAGAAAAUAUGUAUAUAUAGCUCCACUGAAGGAAGUGUGUCCUCAUCUGCUUAAUUCAUGGGGGAUAUAAUUAACCCAGUGUUAUAGGCGUAAGAACCCAAAACAGAGCCGAAAGAAACUUGUACAGAUAUAAGAUAUGCCUUUCAUCUGCUUCGAAGAGUGGCGAGGUGGGAAAAAUCCAGACUCGGUGCAUAGGUCCUGAAAAUAGUAUUUCUGCAUAUAAAGGGAAAACAAAUAUGAACAAGGGAAACGUUGUGCAAACAGUCAGAUUCAAGAUAAGCUCAAAAAACAUUCUGUUUGAAAUGCAUAUCCUCGUAUGCCUUUGCUUUUCCUGUCCUGUUCACAACUUUGUAGUGUUUGGGGUUUUUUUUUGUUUGUUUCAUUCAUUAAAUAAACUGAGCAUCUUCUCACAGCCUCCUGUGCAUUCAACACUUCAUAUUCUGGGUCAUUUUUACCUUCGUGAACAAUAGCAUAACACCAGUCACACUAUAAUGAAACAUGACUCGUGUGUGUGUGUGUGUGUGUGUGUGUGUGUGUGUGUGUUCAGUACCCGUCUACACCAUCUGGAUUAUUUUUCUCUAAAAACCAGGAUGCAAUUCUGUGCCAUAUGCCGUUAAUCCCUACGGAUUUAGAAUGUGGCUGAAGCAGUUGGAUAGAGUGAAAGUGAGGACUGAAAGCCCUUCCUAUGAAAAACCCCAGGUCCAGUUUCAUAUAUUUUACUUACUUUCAGGGUUUGGGGUCUGAAUGACCAAGAUAAUUGCUUCCCUCACUGUUACAUCUGUUUUAACAGUUUAGAGCUUAGGCACCAUUUUAUCUUUCACAUUUUAGCUCAUCUCUUCUUUUUCUUUUUCUUUUUCCUUUUUCUUUUUCUUUUUGUUUUUUUUUUCUUUUCUCUUUUGUAUGAACAGGUUGUGCCUUCCUUCCUCUGCUUCAUACCUUAGUUGUUUGUCUCGUUGGCUCUGUCUCCUUUCUUGUUAUUUACUAGGUAUGGCCAGGACUGAUCCGCCUGUCGUUCUAAUAUCUGAACAUUUGAAAGCAAGCUGUUUUCCAGAAAGAUCCCCAUGCAUGAGUAACAGGUAUUCUGACGGUGAAAUUAGCCGCCUCGUAUUCUUCAUUCCUUUAUUCUUCCAAAUGAGAAAACUAAUCUUGUUAUGUAAGAAGUCAUUACUUCAUCUACUCAUCAGCUGUUUCUGACAUGCUCCAGUUGGCUCUCAGUUUGGAAAUAAAAUUGCACAAGGAUGAAAAUGAAGCCUGUUUCAGAACAUUUUCAAGGAAGAUUUGUUCCUCUAAUAGGCUCUUUGCCGAAAGAUAUGGUUUUUAAUUUGUGAGAAAAUAAAACCGCAGUUCAAACGAGUGAAGCAUAAAAAGUCAGGGGUCAGAAGACUUCCUUAUUUCCAUAGCAAGAAAGUUCUAGCUCUGUAUGAAGUGACACCUCAAACACAAUUUUUGCUGCAAUUUACCUCUAACAGUUCAGACAAUUCAUCCGGAAACAGCUUAAAAUUAAGUCAGGUUUUGAUAUGUCAGUUUUUCAUGCAUGUUAAUCUCAGCAUCCGAUUUUUUUUGUCCACGUAAGAGAGAAGCACAUUAAUUUCUGCGUCGCCAUCUCUAUUUUCUUUCAAUUAUUGGACUCUGCUUUACAGUUUCUGGCAAAUGAAAUAUUUCCUAGUUAAUACACAGGGUAAUAAAGAAUGUUUGCAUGAUGUUCUCCACAGCAGCCCUGGUGGCAAGAGACUUUGUAAAUAUUGGAACUCAGAGUCAAUCCGAAGGAGACGGUGAAAUAAACAAGGCUCAGAAAAACACAAGAGAGAGAAAGAAAAAAAAUAAAGAAAAACACACGAGUUUGAAAUCAAGUUUCCUCCUCCUCCUCUUCUCCUUUCCUCCUCCUCCUCCUCCUCCUCCUCCUCCUCCUCCUCCUCCUCCUUCUUCUUCUUCUUCUUCUCCUUUUCUUCUCCUUCUGCUUCUCCUUUUCUUCUUCUUCUCAUUCUCAUUCUCUUCUUCUUCUUCUUCUUCUUCUUCUUCUUCUUCUUCUUCUUCUUCUUCUUCUUCUUCUUCUUCUUCUUCUUCUUCUUCUUCUUCUUCUUCUUCUUCUUCAAGUGCUUACAGAAAGUAGGAAUAAAAAAUGCAUAGUCUCUGGAGAUAAAUUUUCUGUAUGUACAUAUCAAUAUUACAACUGCCUAGCUGUUUAACUGUGUGAUCUUGAGCAAGUUACCCAACAUAUCUAUGCCUUGAUAACCCCAUCUGGUGAUGGGGGGUGAUGAGGGGGAGGGUAAAAAUAAUACAGAGUUGUGUAGAUUUAGUGAAUUAAUAGAAGGAGUUGUCAUUUACUAAGCACUUGCUUUGCAUCAGACACUAUUCUAAGCAAUUCAUAAGGCCCCAAACUGGGUGUGUUAAGAUUGUGUGUGUUGUUAAGAUACUAAUUUACAAAGCACAUUGGGAAUUUAUAAACUCCUCCAGGGAUCAUUCUUUUUGUAAUGUAAUACCACUAUUUCAUGUCAAGUACAUAUUAAAUAUUUUAAGUAAUAUUUAGCUGACCUAUGUAUAGAUCCCAAACCUUGUGUUCAUUUUCAACUUGGAACACAUAAUAAUUAGAUUUAUUGGUUAUAAUCAGCACUUUGUACAAAGCAUCAGCAUAAAAUAAACCACAUAGGUGCUAAAUUUGUUGGUAACAAUGGCAACCAUGUUGUAACUGAAUUAAAGGAUCUUUCCUAACACGUACUAAAUACUUUGUUGUGAGUCCAGCAAAGAUAUUUGAACCAGGGAGAGGUUUUUGCCCAACUGAGAAUUGCACGACCACUUUGUUUAAAAUACACUCUUUGGCAAUCUGCAUGAUUUGGCUCUACUACAUGCAUCUUCUCCUGAUUUAUGGCAAUUUUCACUCCGUACAUGUAGGGCAUCUGUAAAAUGCACAGAUAUUAUUGCACAUGGUAAGUACUCAAUAAAAAUAAUUUUAGAUGAGUUUACACUAAGAACACAAAACUAUGAACUCUUCUGUACGAGCAAAGUCCAUGAGAGUCAGGUUCCUGAAUAAUCAGUGUCAUCCAGAGAACUACUUUUAAGCUUUAUCAAGUAAUGGACGCACUACACUCAGCUAGAGAAAGUGGUUCCAGCUUUUAUUGAGUCAAAUCUUAACUACCCACAAGUUACUUCGGUAAAUCCAUUAAUCCUCAGUGAGCUCUGAGAUUUACUUCAUUACUGACUGUCAGUAAAGACCAGGUUUGUCUAUCAUUCCCAGGCAGCUAAGGAGAAGAAUAUAGAGAAAAAGAGAACUGGGUUCUGGUCCCUGUUCUAUAACCACUUAGAAAAUAUAUUAUGAAGUCUCUCAUCCUCCCAUGGCGGUUUGCUUUGUUUUGUUUUGUUUUGUUCUACAUUUUGGCACUAAGACAUCUCUUUUAAGAUCUUACUAAAUUUUGGGGUCAUGAGCAGGGACAUAAAAAACAGAGUGUUCCUUUUGGAACAUGGUAUCAGAGAAGUAAAUAUUAGGGGCUUGUCCAAAUUAAUGGGUUUCAAUAGUUCUAAGGAUAAAUUCACUACUUUUUAAGAUAGCAAACAGUAUUGCCAUGCUUUUCUUCUAAAAUCUGUUCUAUUGGGGCACCUGGGUGGCUCAGUCAGUUAAACAUCUGCCUCCAGCCCAGUCGUGACCCCAGGGUCCUGGAAUUGAACCCCGCACCAGGAUCCCCGCUUAGCAGGGAGUCAGCUUUUCCCUCCCUCUCUGCUCCCCCUUCACUCAUGCACAUGCUCUCUCUCUCUCAUAAAUAAAAUCUUAAAAAAUAAAAUCUGUUCUAUUUAAAAUGUGGAGAUAUCAAAAAAAGAAUGAUCCUUCACAAGUCCAUUGUAUGUAUGGCAAAGCUGGAAGUUUCUUAGGCAGUAUUCUGAAAAUUUUGAGGAUCAAAAAAGAAAAAAAA